rnacentral:rRNA from 1 species
UACAGAGGUCCCAAGCGUUGUUCGGAAUCAUUGGGCGUAAAGCGCGUGUAGGCGGCCCGGUAAGUCCGCUGUGAAAGUCGGGGGCUCAACCCUCGAAUGCCGGUGGAUACUGUCGGGCUAGAGUGCGGAAGAGGCGAGUGGAAUUCCUGGUGUAGCGGUGAAAUGCGCAGAUAUCAGGAGGAACACCAAUUGCGAAGGCAGCUCGCUGGGACGUAACUGACGCUGAGACGCGAAAGCGUGGGGAGCAAACAGG